rnacentral:rRNA from 1 species
GAGCUUGCUCUUAUGAAGUUAGCGGCGGACGGGUGAGUAACACGUGGGUAACCUGCCCAUAAGACUGGGAUAACUCCGGGAAACCGGGGCUAAUACCGGAUAACAUUUUGAACCGCAUGGUUCGAAAUUGAAAGGCGGCUUCGGCUGUCACUUAUGGAUGGACCCGCGUCGCAUUAGCUAGUUGGUGAGGUAACGGCUCACCAAGGCAACGAUGCGUAGCCGACCUGAGAGGGUGAUCGGCCACACUGGGACUGAGACACGGCCCAGACUCCUACGGGAGGCAGCAGUAGGGAAUCUUCCGCAAUGGACGAAAGUCUGACGGAGCAACGCCGCGUGAGUGAUGAAGGCUUUCGGGUCGUAAAACUCUGUUGUUAGGGAAGAACAAGUGCUAGUUGAAUAAGCUGGCACCUUGACGGUACCUAACCAGAAAGCCACGGCUAACUACGUGCCAGCAGCCGCGGUAAUACGUAGGUGGCAAGCGUUAUCCGGAAUUAUUGGGCGUAAAGCGCGCGCAGGUGGUUUCUUAAGUCUGAUGUGAAAGCCCCCCGGCUCAACCGUGGAGGGUCAUUGGAAACUGGGAGACUUGAGUGCAGAAGAAGGAAAGUGGAAUUCCCUGUGUAGCGGUGGAAUGCGUACAGAUAUGGAGGAACACCC